AUUCUCCUGCCUCAGCUUCCGGAGCAGCUGGGACUGCUGGCGCCCGCCACCACGCUCGGCUAAUUUUUUUGUGUUUUUAGUAGAGACGGGCUUUCACCGUGUUGGCCUAGCUGUUUUCAAACUCCUGACCUCAUGAUCCCCCCGCCUCAGCCUCCCAAAGUGCUGGGAUUACAAGCGUGAGCCACCGCGACCCGCCAACACUCUUGACAACAGUGCUGUGCUAAGAUCUUGGGGGACUUCAAAAAGUUCACCAGUUCCUGUGUCCAUGGGUGAAAAGAUUUUCUACAUCUUUCCUUGACUAGAAACAGAAGUCCUGAAACAAGCAUUUUAAAAAGGUUGUACAUCUAGCAAUACCUAACAAAAUAGGAAAUCAACUUGGGGAUUCUGCUUUUGCAUCUUCCUCGUUUUCUCUUGCCGCUGCCAAGUAAGAAGUGCCUUUCACCUCACGCCAUGUUUCUGAGGCCUCCCCAGCCAUGUGGAACUGCAAGUCCAGUUAAACCUCUUUUUCUUCUCAGCGCUACCUUAAUGAGCAGACAGGAUGCCAUCAUCUCCGACCUGAAUGACAAUAACCUCCAAACCAGCCUUUGCAUACUCCUUCCUGCUGCUCUGCAGUCCACUUCCACAGACCAGCCAAUUGAAUCUCCUUAUAGAUUCAUAAUGGCCAUCAGCACAAAGAUGUUUUAUCUGCACUCAACCAGCCAUGUUUCAUGAUGGCAUCAAAAUGUGCUGGAAAAGGUCAAACAGAGAAAAUCAUCAUCAUAAAGUGAAGUGAUUUUCUUCUUUAUGAGCUCCUGAUGUAAACAGACUGAUGAGCACAACACAAUCCUUACUCACCCACAUGACAUCAUACACAAUCACAGCUAAAUGUUUCUAUCUGUCAAAGCCUGAAGAGUGACUACCAGACUGUUGCCUGAUUG